UAGCGUAUACAAAUACUUCGCAUCUAUAAAUGGCAAACACAUAUUUCGAGCACUCUCUUCGGUGCCUGUUGUCUAGAGAUUCCAAUCUCAAACAGAGAAGAGUGUUCCAAUGAAAAGAGGUUUUCCAGCAACGUUUGUCUUCUUUUGUUUCUUCUGUUACUUUUAUUCUUCCUCUGGCCUUACGAACACCCAUAUGCCGCCUCAGUGUCUCUGAUUGUUUUUUUUAACGUUUUCUUUCCUUCUUCAUCAAUGGGCGAUUCUUUUGGGUUGAAUUUCUGUACUUCUAACAUGAGGAGAACUGAUGCACCUAUAUUGUUUGAUACUAUGCCGAAGCGAGACUGAACAACUUUUAAUUUGAAAUUCUAGGAGACAUCGAAUUGUAAGGUAGCGCCUGCAAAGAAAUUAGCUCUUGUGAUUGCCAAUAGCAGGAAAGAUGCCAUUAACAAAACUUGGAAUUGUCCUUUGGAACAAAGGUGUAGGUCUCUUUGUCUGAUUUCAGUUGGCAUUAAAUGGAAGAUACACCAUCACGAUGAUGAGCACCAGUGUUGUCAUGUUUGAUGGGUUUCGGAUGUCAGCCACCAGAUGAAUGAGUUGGUAAAGUAUAGAUGGCUUGGAGGAGUCAUCAUUGGGACUAUGAUAGGCUUCAAUUUGACUUUGAUUGAAGGUGCUCAAGCUGGCCUGCGUAAUGUCAUCAUAACUGGAAGGAGCUAUGGUGCUUCAACAAAAUUGAAGGAUAAGCUAGCUCUUGACAAAUUACAACAGACAAUGAGGUGAUCAUUUUCACCUAGGUUAUUAAAAAUGAGGUAAUUGUUUUCACCUGUUUGAUUUGAUAUACUGUACGAUAUAGUCAUUGGUGCCUUUUCUUCAUUUUAGCUUUUGGAAUACAGGUGCUGCUGUAGUUUUGUUCCUUCCCAUUCUCUCUUUCUUUUUUUGACUAUUAACAUCUGGGGUUGUAGCUUUGUUGUUGAUUUCGGUCGAGUUGUGAACCCCCCUACCGGAAUUUUACUUGUUUUCCUGCUAUCUUCCUAAGUUGAGCAAAUCAGUAGUUCUAUUGUUGUUUCCAAACAGGUUGCUUCAUUGCUAAUUUAAGAUCUUUCUCCACCUACCAUUUUGUAAAAACAAGACACAAAAACAAGAACCACCAACGCGUGCACAAAGGUGAGUCACACUCUUCCCCCUCUAUAUAUAGGGGUAUAAAGCUUCAGUUUUUUUCGCGAGUAUCUGUUUUAACAUCCUGCGCGUGUGCUUAGUUGAGAAAUUUUGGGCAGCUUCUCUCUGAAUUUCCUUAUUUUAAUCCUUUAACUUCCACAAAGAAUUGUUUUAAGGAAGUCCAAACAAACUUUUGGAUCUCAUACUUUAUUUAUGCUUUCGUUAAGAGUUUGAAGAGGCAACAUGCAUUGAAAAUAAUAGAAUUACCUCUUUUAAGUCACAACUUGAUGACUUCUUUAUAUAUGGUUGAAUCAUUUCCUUAUUUCACCUUUGCAGAUUAAUAAGACUUGAUCCGGUCCUUUACAUUCUUUCCAAAGAAAAAUUAUGUUUCACGAAAAACAAAGCAGAUAAUAUUCUUUAAAUUUGUAAGUUCAGAAAUUAAGUGGAGCAAGUCAUUUCAAGGCAUUUGACAUUUCAUUUUAAAUUUCAUUGCCAAUAAUCCAGGAAUAGAGAAAUUAUAGUUUUUUUUUUCUUUCUGGAGUGGCUCUGGGGGGUACCAUAGACACUUAAUUUUUAUCUCCCACUCGAUCAUUUCAACGACAACUAUCUUCUAUACUGUGGUUUUUAUAUAGACAUGUUCUUAUGGUGCAGUACCAUUUAUUGGAAAUGUGUACACCAGGUGAUACGACGAAGGAAAUCUCUACCAGGUUGGCUAAAUUUUUUAAAAUAUUAUAUUCAAGGAGGAUUCUGAAACAGUAGCUUCUGUCGAUUAACUUUUUGAGAAUGAGCUUCUGUAAAUUAACUCCUGCUCGGCUUCUUCAUUGAGAUUGCCUCAUAGCUGUUGAAUUUAUCAUAUUCUUGACCUUUGAAUGAAUACAAGGAAAUGCAGUUAUCCAUUUGUCCUUGCAGCGGAUGGUGUGCCAGAAAUAAGUUGAAGAUGUAUGAUAUCAACGAAUGAGUCUUGCUUCAGUGAUCCCUCUCUCCAGAAGGAUCACAAGAAUGAUUUGUUAAUAGUGGAUGAAGAAAAAAGAGCACUGAAAACACAUGGAAGAGAUGAUCAUGUAUUUUGGUGACACUGAGAUGGAGCGGCCAAAGUACGAGAUUGAUAGCUGAUUUGAAGCUAAAGGUUCCAUGUAGUAGUUCAAGACCGGGACAUAUCUUCAUACGUUGAAGAAUUCUAGAACUUUUGAGUUCUUGAUUCUUGGUUUUGCUAUGUUUGUAGUAAAAUAACUAUUCCCUUUCUAAAAGCAUACAUUGUUGGACCUAUGCUAUAUACUCCAUGGUGUUUUAAAUUGGGGAGUCACUUUUAACAGUGUGAAGACUAUAUAUAGGUAAAUCUGGAUGACCUAAGGUAUUUCUUUUUACUGUUGACCAAAGAUUUACAGGAGUAAACCUUUGUUUUCUGCCAAUUAAUCAUGAUGGAAUAUGAAAUUAUUGGAAUAUUAAUUUAUGAACUUUGAUUCA